rnacentral:tRNA from 1 species
UCCCUGAUGGCUCAGAUGGUAAAGAAUCCGCCUGCAGUGUGGAAGACCCAAGUUCGAUCCCUGGGUGGGGAA